UUUGAGUAAGCGCGUUAGCGAUAGUAACGACAUCCUUUUUUUGCUGCUUUUACUUUAGGGUUAAGCUUUAAUCAUUUGCAAAAAAAGAUAUAGUGAAUAGCGCGACCCUUG
rnacentral:sRNA from 1 species